UCCUUCGCUGUCUGUUUACAUCGCUGCGGUGCAUUCUGGGAGGUCACCCCACAACCUGAGGCAGGCGUACUAUUCUGGUGCUCCCGGGAAAAAAAAUGUGUGGAGGGGCAGAGGAUCAGACAGACAGGAGGAACCAAGACUCAUUUCUACACAGAUGGACAUGUAAAAAGAGCACAAAUGGAGAAUUUUGAAGCAUCUUCAGACAGCUUUUUUCUAUACAACGGUGAUCAAAAGUGUUUUUUACGCAGUUUUUUAGACCUGGAUGAUGUAAAUGUAUGCAACACCCCUGAAAAUGCUUUUAUUAUCAUUACUGAUUGGUAAAGCGGCCAGCUUUGGCAUCAUGUGACAAGUUCAGCUCAGACGGAACUGCCAGUGUAAAUGUAAGUAACCCAACACACACACACACACACACACACACACACACAGAGAGAUUUGAGAUGAGUGUUAAUCUCUAAGGUGUGUUAGGAAAGCACAGAAGGAAGGAGAUAUCAAAUUAAGCUCACGUAAAACUUAUUUACUAAAAAACAUCCUAGUAAAAUUUAGAUUAGCAAAAAUUCCAUGUCAUUCUAGUUUUAGCCCAAUGCGACGGGCUUCAUGAGAAGGAUAACAUGAUAAAGACUUGUUUGAACAUAUAAUCUCUGAGGAAAGAUUCCUCUGAGUUAAAUGUUAUGCACAUCCAACCAUGUUGAAUAUUUACUUCAUCUCUCACAUAGCUCUCUCAAACGUUAAUACUGAGACAAAGAAACGCAUACACGCAGCUAAAAAUAAAUUGGCAUGCAUAGUCA
ensembl:lncRNA